rnacentral:lncRNA from 1 species
AUGUGCACACUCAUUACCACGAGGAGAAGUGUUACGAGGAGGGGCUGCACUUUUAUCACCUGGGCUGUCACCGCUGGAGCCGGGGGGAGCCCCUGGACAUCAGCCAAGGUAGGGAAAGAAUUCCCAGAAAAUUCAGGGAAUUCCUGGGAAAAAAUCCUGGAAAAAUCCCCAAAAAAAUCCCCCCAAAAAUUCCCAGAAAAUUCAUGGAAAAUUCCGGAAUUCCUGGGAAAAAAUCCCGGAAAAAAUCCCAAAAAAUUCCCCAAAAAUUUGGGAAUUCCUGGGAAAAAAUUCCGGAAAAAAUCCCCAAAAAAUUCCCCCCAAAAAUUCCAAAAUUCCCAGAAAAAUUCCUGGAAAAUUCCAGAAUUCCUGGGAAAAAAUCCCGGAAAAAAUCCCGGAAAAAAUCCCCCAAAAAUUCCCAGAAAAUUCCUGGAAAAUUCCGAAAUUCCCAGAAAAAAUCCCGGAAAAAAUCCCCCCAAAAAUUCCCAGAAAAUUCAUGGAAAAUUCGGGAAUUCCUGGGAAAAAAUUCCGGAAAAAAUCCCCCCAAAAAUUCCCAAAAAAUCCCCCCAAAAAUUCCCAGAAAAUUUCCAAAUUCCAGGAAAAAAAUCCCAAAAAAUUCCCAAAAAAUCCCCCCAAAAAUCCCCCAAAAAAUCCCUCAAAAAUUCCCGGAAAAUUCCCAAAUUCCUGGGAAAAAAUCCAAAAAAAUUCCCAAAAAAUUCCCCUAAAAAUUCCCAGAAAAUUCCCAAAUUCCAGGAAAAAAAUCCCAAAAAAUUCCGUAAAAAAAUUACAAAAUUCCCUGAAAAAAUCCCAAAAAAUUCCCAAAAAAUCCCCCCAAAAGUUCCCAGAAAAAAUUCCAAAUGGGAGCCCCUGGACAUCAGCCAAGGUAGGGAAAGAAUUCCCAAAAAAUUCAGGGAAAAGUCGGGAAUUUCUGGGAAAAAAUCCCGGAAAAAAUCCCCCAAAAAUUCCAAAAAAAAUCCCAAAUUUCUGGGAAAAAAUCCCCAAAAAUUCCUGGAAAAUUCCUGGAAAAUUCUGGAAUUCCUGGGAAAAAAUCCCGGAAAAAAUCCCCCAAAAUUCCCAGAACAAUUCCUGGAAAAUUCCCAAAUUCCUGGGAAAAAAUCCCCCCAAAAUUCCCAGAAAAUUCCCAAAUUCCUGGGAAAAAAUCCCAAAAAAUUCCCAAAAAAUCCCCCCAAAAAUCCCCCAAAAAAUCCCUCAAAAAUUCCCAGAAAAUUCCCAAAUUCCAGGAAAAAAAUCCCAAAAAAU